AUUGAACGCUGGCGGCAGGCUUAACACAUGCAAGUCGAGCGGGGGAAGGUAGCUUGCUACCGGACCUAGCGGCGGACGGGUGAGUAAUGCUUAGGAAUUUGCCUCUCCGUGGGGGACAACCUCUCGAAAGGGAUGCUAAUACCGCAUACGUCCUACGGGAGAAAGCAGGGGAUCUGCGGCCCUUGCGCUAAUCGAUGAGCCUAAGUCGGAUUAGCCAGUUGGGGGGGUAAAGGCCUACCAAGGCGACGAUCUGAAGCGGGGCUGGGAGGAUGGUCCGCCACACUGGGACUGAGGCACGGCCCAGACUCCUACGGGAGGCAGGAGUGGGGAAUAUUGGACAAUGGGGGGAACCCUGAUCCAGCCAUGCCGCGUGUGUGAAGAAGGCCUUAUGGUUGUAAAGCACUUUAAGCGAGGAGGAGGCUACUCUAGUUAAUACCUAGGGAUAGUGGACGUUACUCGCAGAAUAAGCACCGGCUAACUCUGUGCCAGCCGCCGCGGUAA
rnacentral:rRNA from 1 species